CAAAAGCCGAGGUGGUGGGCAACUGUUGGUCAGUUUGAACUGCUGGGCGGGAAGCUGGGCGGCGGGAGGGCUAGGGCCGGUAUGUAAAGUGAGAGAUAAGGGAGCCUCUUUGUGGGGGAGGGAAAGAGAGAGAGAUUUUGCGGUAGGGGCAGAGUUUUCCAAACAUUCCCGACUCCUUAAAGAAAAGAAAAAGAGGGGGUCAGGGGCGUCGGUUGUCUCUCUGGCUACUUCCUGCUGACAAGGGUCGACGGGGGGUUCUGAAGAGGUUUCUUUUCCUAAGGAGCCUGGAGGUUUGGGGAGAGGUCUGUUUCUUGCACUCGUUCAGGGUAGGGUUGGAGCAGCAUCUGGUGGAUGGUGACUCGAGUCAGUUCUUGAAAGCGCCGCUAUAGGAACUGUAGAAAGCAAGGAGCAAUAAGUAAGAUUAGGCAAACAGCUAUUAGGGGCCCAAGCAAUGGUGACAAGAGGGUAUACAUAGAGGAAGACCACCACGCUGUGGCUUCAGCCGAGAACUUCUGACUCUACAGGUUAGUUUUGAGUUUCUGGAGGCUCUCGAUUCGGGUUUCUACUAGGCCGGAUUCAUUGAUGUAGUAACAGCACUCUUCUUGUAGGAAGAUACAGGUCCCUCCUCGUUCAGCAGUGAGCAGGUCCAGGGCUCUUCGGUUCUGCAAGGCAACUUGGGCAACUGAGGUGAUCUGUCAUUGGAGUGAUGCUAAAGACUCAGUAGAGUCAUUAAUAGCCGCUUGGAGUUGUGAGGUCAGUCGGGCUAUGGCCAGGUGAGAGUGGACUAGUGCCCCUCCUCCUAAUCCUGCUGCAAGUGCUGAACCAGCAAGGGAGACUCCAACGGCAAUGGGUAGGAAGGCAGCUCAUCGGGUGCAGCGAUGGGGAGUUUGCAGCAUCUGGAAUUCGGCUGGGGAAUAUAUAGUGAGUCAAGGGACUAGGGUUACUGGGAGGCAUAAAAGAGAUGAGGAAAGGCCAAUGUAGAGAGUUUUUGUUAAGGUCUUGUUACACCCGAAAAACGUUCCUCGUGGGGCUGUUAUAUUAGUGGUUACCCGUAUAGUUCUGUUACAGCUAGGGACGUUUCGGCCUAGGGAAUGUGGGGUUUGGUAGGGGAUACUUGGGGUCCCAUCGAUUCCCAUGACCAAGACCUGGGAAGGGGUGAGAUGGCCAGAAUAAGAAGGAAGAGCGGAGUAGGUAGCCCCCAUGUCUUGUGACCCUAGGCUCGGCAAGGGUAACCGGAGUCGGAAAGCCAGGGCCCCGCUAGUCAUCUAGCAGCCCUAGUAGACUGGGGAACGGAGCUCCCUCGGAGGUCGGCUCCUGGCAAGCAGGCUCCUCCCUACUGAGGGUGACCGCCGGCUGCGUAACGCCAGUGUGUCUGUUUUGAGGAACCGGCACCCUGGGGAAGCUGGGGCAGUCUGACUUCCAGUGUCCCGGGAGCCGACAGAUAGGGCAAGGCUUAGUUGGUGGCCGUGGUUGUGGACAGGCUCGGGACCAGUGUCCUUCCUUUCCACAUUUGAAACAUGCCCCUGGAGGGGCAUGGGUUUCGGCCUUGGGCUUCUGGUUCCCUGCUGGCCUUAGAGCCGCCACUAGGGCUUGGGUCUGGAGGGCAGCCUUCUGCUUCAUGCGAGUUUGGCGGGCAGCCUCAGCCGCAUCUUCCAUGGCAUUGAAUACUUUAAAGGCCAUUUUUACCAGGUUUUGGAUGGGAGUCUCUGGCCCCUCUUCUGCUUUCUUUAGUUUCUUUCUUAUGUCGGGUGCUGACUGGGAGAUAAAAUGGGAGGCUAAUACAGUGGCCCCAUUUUGGGAGGCUGGAUCUAGUCGAGUGUACCGGACUAGGGCUUCUUAUGUUUGAGUGAGGUAUUGGAAUUCUUUAAUAUAGGUGGACGGGUUGGCUGAGAAGGAUCCUAAACGUUUCUCAAUUUGGGACAGGUCUUGGAGUGAGAAAGGAACAUGGACCCUGAUUAAACCUUCUGCGCCUGCUACUUCUCGGAGUGGGGCCAGGAUAGCUGGCUGGUGGGAGCGGGUGUGGGCCGCCACCGGAGAGGCAAGAGGAAGUGCAGCCUCUGAGGGAGGGGGCUCGGAGGGAGUAGAGGGAGAGCGAGGCAUGGCCUCUGAGGUAGGAGGUGCAGAGGGAGUGGGGGAAGGGCGUGCCGUUGAUGGCGAGUGGUUGCUGAGAUUGGCAGGAGAGGACAGAUGUUCAGGCAGAUCCUCCGGUGAGGAGUAGGGAGGGGGAGAGGUAGUGGAGGAAGAUUUACGGGGGGUUCGAGAUAAGAGGAUUUGGUAGGUGGAGCAGGAAGAACAUAGGUUGGGGUGGGUACGGAGGUCCCAAAAAGCCUGGACGUAAGGAAUUUCAUUGUCCUUGCCCGUGCGGCGACAAAAAUCGUCGAGAUCUCGGAGGGUGUUGAAAUCAAAAGUGCCAGUCGGGGACCAAUGUGACUGGUUACUGAGUUUGUAUUGGGGCCAAGCCACCUGGGACAGGAAAAUAAGCUUUUUCUUUCUGAGGGUUUGGGAAUAUCCCAAUUUGGUAAAAUUUCGCAGCAAGCACCCGAGGGGGGUGCUCAGAGGUAUUUUGGACUCCGAAUUUCCCAUGGCAGGUGCAGCUAAAGACUCUCCAGUGCGGAUGGGCAGAUGCAACGAAAAGGCGUCCCCGUUCGUUGCAAAUUCCCCGGAGUACAAUUAAGUACGGAAAGGGAAGCGGUCAGAGGGGCGUCCCCCGUCUGGCGGCUGUCCCUCGGAAGGCUCCUGGAGCCGGAAUGGAAGACUACCUUGGCUCGGCCGAGACUAGGCAAGGAGUCCGUGCGGAACGCCGGAGAGGGAGCAACUGCACCGUGCCAUAGGAAGAGGAGACGGGAAGCGGGGGAAGGCAAAGUAAGAAAAACUUGGCUUACCUUAAUCGGAACGUGGAGGUGGCAGGGCCAGUGUUGGGUAGGUCGGGGAGGGGGGCCGUGGCCGGGCCAACGGCCUCAGCUCCCGUCCCGGGUUUCGGCACCAUUUGUCCGACCUACCCUCUGCGGGAAGACUGAGCUCGUUCGGAAAAAACCGGACCGCAGGCUAGAGGAAAUUCCUUAAGUUCAGGCUUUAUUGAGAGGAAAGAGCCUCCGGGCAGGCCAGCCGGGACGAAAAGGAAAAAUGGCCGCGCCGCUCAGAGGGGCAGGGUUGUUUUAUAGGGGGCUGAAGGGCUGGGGGGUGGGGAAGCCAAAAGCCGAGGUGGUGGGCAACUGUUGGUCAGUUUGAACUGCUGGGCGGGAAGCUGGGCGGCGGGAGGGCUAGGGCCGGUAUGUAAAGUGAGAGAUAAGGGAGCCUCUUUGUGGGGGAGGGAAAGAGAGAGAGAUUUUGCGGUAGGGGCAGAGUUUUCCAAACAAUAUCCAUAAAGUAAUAUCUGUUAGUUAUUUUGGAUAACAUAUAGUUCCUCUCUCGGUUCCUACUUUCCCUCAGCUCGACUCCCCGAACCAGGGAUCUGUGUCUGGGCUCAAGCUCACCGUAUGGUGAGGCCCAUUUCCCAGGGGGCCUCACACGGGAGCGAACCCCAUAGAUUCCCUCAAUGGACGUUGCUGCAAAAAUCCCGUCGCCAUCCUAAAGCCUAGUGCUGAUGGUAGAAGUAAGCAGCUCUACGAAGUGGACAUGCCUACGCCUUCAGUGCCUUCCCACGAAGGUGCUCUAUGCUCACUUCCUGCUAGUCCUCAUCUAGAUGCUAUCUCAUAGUUCAGUGUUACAGGCUCAAGAUGUGUCUUCCCACAGUGACUCUGUUUAGUCCAAGAGCCUGAAUUAUUAAGUUGUGGGUAGAAAAAGUAUAUUUGGGAUCCACAGACUAGUUCCCUUGCUCCAUGUGUAAGUUAUAAUGGGGAGCCAGACAGAACCUCUCUGCCCACUACCAGAUUGCUCGGUUAAUGUGUGGGCACCAUUCUGUGGCAACCAGGACACUGCCCUGCUCAGAAGCAAUGUCUUCAAAGCUCCAGCCAUGAUUACAAGGCGAUGUUUAAAAGAGUUAACAAUUGGAAUGAACGGCAUGGGACCAACUAAUCCGAAUGAAGACAGCCAUGGUACUGGAAUAGGAUCACAGAGCACCUCCGCUUGCUUGGCCUUCACCUUUGAGUUUUUUUGGAUCAUAGGGAGUCUAAGGAGUCCUGGGAGAGGGCCAGGGAACCUGCAGCUGUGGCAGGGCUCAGGGCUGUGGCUUUUUACCAAAUGGUACAGAAAUAGACAAAUUAUAACUCCCACAUGGCUGAAUCAGUUCAUACUGACCAGCACGACUCAAUCCCUUUUGUCCAGAGGAUGUUUUGGACCUUCCUACUGAUGAGGCAAGUUUUGAACAGAAGUUGUGUGAUUUGCAUACACAUUCAGAGGCUGCUCACAGUUGAAAAUCAGAGGUGGGAAGACCAGGAAUGUCUGGGAUUGCAUAGUCAGGGAGUCCGUGAACUGACCUGACAAAGGCUGGUUAGAAAUGUCACUCCAGGUAGCAUGGAGUCCCUGCAUGUGGAGUUCCCUUCUGCUCCUAUCUAGCUUUGCUCCACUUUGCUGACCUUCAAGCUACUUUGGCUGUUUCUAUCUGGGACUCUUAGCUCCCAGUGGUUCUUUAAAGGGAUUUUAGGUUUGGGACUCGCUGCAACUUUUUGGUGCAUGUGCCUUGAAAGCUCUGCCUCAGUUAGUACCUUGUUGACCCAUCCUCCCAUCUUGUAUAGCACCACUUAAACAGAAAGGCAGAGGAUCAUAAAAAUCCAGAUUCUGGGAAUCAGGAGGAGAGGGGCAGCCUGGGCUGUGGACAAAGUUUACUCCCUUCAAUCAGACAAAUGACAUACAUAUAACUCCCAGCCACACACAUCAAAGCAAAACUACUCUGAUAGUCCUUGCUUAACCAUUGCAAUGAACCUGGCACAGUAAGGAUCUGGAGGAUAAGAAGAAUUUUAGCAGGGGAGACAAUAAUGCAGCAAUAGAAUUUUCCACUAUUCUUGAAAUGAAGCUUCUGCUCUUUUAUUUCCCUGCACGGUGCAUAGUGUGACAGGACAAGUUACUUGGGAGAAUGGGGAAAACUUGCAGGAGAGGAUGCAGUUACAAUAUUUUGAGGCUGUAAUAUUUGCUGAUAGCUCUUCUGAACAAGGAUCUGGCCAUUCUCUUUCUUCUGAACAUUUUUACUGUCAAGACCCCAUUCCCACUGUGGGUGCCCCAACCCAUCUCCAUCAUGCUAUAUAUAUGGUUUCACUGCUCAUUAUCUUUUACUUCCGUGAAAGAAGCUCUUAAUCACAGCCCACCCUUUGGCAUGGCCAGGGGAAAAGAACGAAAUGAGCUUUAAGGUAUGGCAGGUGUCUUCGAGGCCUGCGACACUUCAUUAGACACAAUAAGGAAAAGGGAGUUAGACCUGAGGACUUACCAAGAACGUCUGUCUCCUGGAGGCCGUCUGAAUGAAGCGGGCUGGCAGCAGACCCAGCACCUUAAUAAGGACAAUUCAAUUGAUUCACUCUUUGUGUGAUCAGAGAUUCAAAGACUGAGGGGCAGGGCAUACUUUGGCCAGGCUUUGCCUUCUACAUAUAAGGAUUUAACGUAUUAAGUAAUAACAUCGGGUCAGUAGCAGAGCAAACCCAGAGCCUGGGCCUUUUAACCCCUAAUCCAGAGCUGAAUUCAUAUCCUAAGAAUCAGCACUGGCCAUGUUAUUCUAAACAGACAUCAGCACCAACUAGAGGUGGGCCACCACCUUGAUAGCAGCCAGAUGUCCUUGUCAGAGCACAUAAACUGGUAUACAUGCUGCCAUUUCUGAAUUAAAGAGUGACAUAUCCCAGCAUGGAGCACUGGAAAGGGAGGAGAAGAAAAGAAAAUGAAAAUGACCAGAUGAGCGUCAGACAAUUACAAGACAAAACACCUUCCUGAAAGCAAAAGUGUUCAUCUUCUCCCAUUGCAAUUUAGAGAUGCACACAGAGAUAAGGAAAUUACACUGUGGGUCACCUACCCUUGCUGCUCAGUUCCCAGCCAUAAUCCAUGCACAAUCCUGCUCUUCUGUUUCUCAGUCCCUUUGACACUGAGGUCAAGAGGAAGCUGAGUCAGUUCUGGGGUUGUAAGGAAGUUGAAACAUAGGCCCCGUUCUCUUUGGCAUUGGAAGCUGGAGUGGUCUGGGGAUGCUUCAUUCAUUAUCAACCUUAGAAGCCAUCUACCUGGCUUCCCUCAUUUUAUAGUCCAGAGCCGGGAAAUGACUAGUCAAAAAGACAGAGCCAGGGCUAGACCCCAGGUUUACUGACUCACAGGCCAGUGUUCAUUCCACCAUAGCUGUUUUUACCUAAAUUAUUUUAAUAUUUUAUUAUUAGUUUCAAUCAUGAAAUGAAAUUCUCUAUGUUUAGUCAUUCUCAAGGCUAUAUGUGUUUCUCUCUCUGUAACUUUGAGACAAUCUGGAAAAUAGAAAUUUGGCAAAGAUAGAUAGAUAGACACACACGUUGGUGUUUGCACACAAAAGAUCUUUGUUCACUGGGAAAAUCCUAAAAAGUAACAUUUUAAACUUUUAAGGUUAUUUUUCUAUUCUGUCUAAUUUAGUUCCAUAACAAGGUGAAAGCAUAAUAGAUAUAAUUAAUAAUCAUAUCAUGAGUUUUGGUAAAGCCUUGCUAUUGGGAGAUAGUUUUCCCAGAAAACUGUCAUUUCCCACAAUGAAUGACUAAUGCCUGAACAAUACACAUAUUUUGAAGUCAAAUAAUUUCCAGUUCUUUAACAUUUUAAUCAGGUUGUCAGCUGACAGGAUGGGGAACAUAAUUGUAGGUGACAGAUCACCGUUUGAUUUGUACAUAGAACUCAACAGGAGGCACUAAAUUAGAUGACCUUAACUAGAACAGGCUUCCUCUGUGGGUUCACAUCUACACCACCAAGCAAUUGGAAUCACAGUAAUCCUGAACCUGGGCAUUCUAGUAAGAAGCAUCAUUCACCUAUGGGUAUAAGCAAAUCCAGCUCUAUUCAUUUUUUGAAGAGCUGUAUGCUCAAUAAAAUUUCACAUUUUAUUUUUGAUAAUUAUCAAAAUUUGCACACCAGAUAUAUUUUAACGGUAACUUACCAGAAAAAAAUUUUUUACAUAUGAAGCUUAUGGAAUCAGGAAAAUUUUUAAAGCUAUAAAGAUUGAUAAAAGUUUCUAGGCCAGGUGCAGUGGCUCACACCUGUAAUCCCAGCACUUUGGGAGGCCGAGGCGGAUGGAUCACAAGAUCAAGAGAUUGAGACCAUCCUGGCCAACAUGGUGAAACCCUAUCUCUACUAAAAAUACAAAAAUUAGCUGGGUAUGGUGGUGCAUGCCUGUAAUCCCAGUUACUCAAGAGGCUGAGGCAGGAGAAUCCCUUGAAACCAGGAGGCAGAGGUUGCAGUGAGCCGAGAUCAUGCCACUGCACUCCAGCCUGGGCGACAGAGCGAGACUCUGUCUCAAAAAAAAAGUUUCUAAACAUAAGCAUAUAUUAAAUUAGAAUAAAAUUCCAUAGAGGAAGUAGAGAAAAGAGUAAAAACAAAAAGCAAAAAAGAACAAAGUAAAAUAAAGGUACAACUCUUAAGAACUUGUUCACAUACUUUCAGACAGAUUUUAAUGGGCGUCAUGUCACUCUGGUUUUGUAUUCUUUUGGACAUUUCCGAAAGGGUGGUGUAACACUUUUAUUUUAAAAUGUCACUAUUUACAAUAUGAUGGAAAUGACAUCCCCUGCAACUAUUGAAAUUUAAGAUAAAAAUUUUAAAUGUCAACUUGACAAUGUACAAGGGGGUACACAAUUUCAAAACUACUUUUAGGGAACACCCAACCAAAGAAAAAAAAAAGUAGGCAGGCCACGGUCCUGGGCAAGUCUGAUGCAGCCCAGUGUUUGAGAUCAAAGCCCACAGUCUCCGUGCGAGCCGACCUCCAGCCAGCCCUCCCGGUACCUCCACGAUGCAGGCCAGCUGCUCCACGUCAUUCUCCCCAGAGAACAGGGGGAAGCCCGUGUACAACUCUGCCAUGAUGCAGCCCAGGCUCCACAUGUCAAUGGCCAUGUCGUAGGGGUGGCCCAGGAUCACCUCUGGGGAUCGGUAGAACCGGCUUUGGAUAUACGCGUAUACCGCGGAGGCAAAGCGAGAGCAACCUCGUGGGAAAAACUCACUCUUCAAAACACUCUCCUCCAGGACACCUUCUCGGUUAAACUGCGCCCCUGCUGGCAGGGAAAGGGAAGUCCAGCUGGCCAGCACUUCGAAGUCUCAUUACACAUAACAGCAUCAAAUCAGCACAGUAACCUAAUUACAAAGGAGGUGUUACUGUCCCGAACUCCAACGUGAGUACUGUUGUAGGAAAGUGAAUUUAAGUUAGCCAAGUUUAUAACAAACAAAACGUAAGACAAAUAUAAGACUAAGUUUUCAAAACUGUCAGCUUGAUUUGGGGUAGACAGCUUCUGACUCUCGUGGCUUGGCAAUGGAAGAAGCGUAUCAACUUGGAAAGGAAGCAUGCGAAGUGUAUAUUCCAUAUAGUACGUGCACUUAUUGUAUAGAAAGGAAAUCUCAACAGAUGAAGAUGAAUGGACUGAAGUUGAAGAAAUGGAACACGGUAGUUAUUUCCACAUAACUGGGAUUGCUGGUUACCUGGGGAAGUGCAGGGAUCCUGUAAUCACCUUUUUGUUGUUUAAAUUGGUUAUUGUCAGAAGAUAAUAAUUCUGUGAUUUAAAACAAAAUAAAGAUUUAAUAAAAAUAAUUUUUAUAUUUUGCCUGCUUCCCAAAUGGAUCUGUGGUACUUUGCAAAGCACAUAUGCACAGAGUAUUUUAGAACAUGGAUUUAAUGGUAUUUACAUAAUGUUUAGUAUGUGCCAGUCAUGAUUCCAAGUGCUUUUACAGAUAAGCCCUUUCAACUUUUACAUAAAUUCUAUGAAACAAGUAGUAUUAUUGCCUCCAAUUGAAAUGUGAGAAAACUGAGGCAUACAGAGGUUAAAAUGUCAAGGUUACUGAGCUAUCAAUGACAGAGCUGGGAUUCAGGAUUAGGCAGUCCAGUUCUAGUAUCAAUACUAGAUACUGCCUCACAGUUAACGAUAAAAAGGAAGUCAGAAAAUAUGCAAAGGAGGAAAUGACUGUUAGGAACCAAGGAUAAAAUAAUUACAAACUCAGUUCUGAGCAUCUUGGCAGCCAAGAUCAAUGACACUGAUAAGUUAUGGCCUUCAACAUCUGAGAAGGGCAAACAUUUAAGUUCUUUGUGGAAAGCAUUAGUUUUUAGCUGGAAUUUCUUUUAGGAUUCAUACAUAAAAGAUAUGAAUGAAAUUAUGUCCUCAAAAAUUGAUCUGCCAGAGAGAGGCCCAGAUAGAGGACGCAGAGGCAUGCUGCUGCCAUGGCAGUGUGGUCCUGGCUGCCGUGGAGGCAGGUGGCAGGGUCUCCCUUGCCUCAAUGUGAAGAACUUAGAAAGAGGAGGAGAGGAGAACUCCCCUGGCCAUCUCUGUGACCCCAGCCGGCACAUUUUACACAGGCAGGAGGGAUAUGGAGGGAGAGAAGGGAAGGGUGAUGGAGAUAUUAAUGGUGGGAGAGAGGAAAAUGAAUGAAAAUAAAGAUACUGAUUCAAAAGAAAUUGAAGAAUAUGAAGAUGACCUUGAAAAGAACUCAGGGCCGGGUGCGUGGAUCACACCUGAGUGGAUAAUUUGUGAAAAUGAAAAAAGUGAUGCCAGUAUAAUUGAGAUGACUUGUUUGAAAGAAGAGACUAUUAAUCAAGACUUAAAAGAGAAUGAAACGGUAAUAGAACACACCAAACAGCUUUCUGAUCCUGACAAAUCAUUGCAGGAUGAGGUCUCGCCAAGAAGAAAUGUCUUCAUUUCUGUAGCAAGUAUCCCAUAUCAGAUUCAAAUAGUGAAAGCUCUUUCCAGGAAUUCAAACUAGAAAGCCAGAAAGACUUGGAGAAGGAGAGGAUGAGGAAGUAAGGAGAUCCAUUAUUAAGAAAAUCGUAUACACUAACAAGCUUCUACAGAAUCAAGAACCCGUGAAUGAUAAAAGCAAGUGAAAACUUAAGUUCAAGGACAAAUUAGUUGAUCUGAAAGUUCCUCCACUAGAAGACACUAAUACUUAUAAAAAUUAUUCUGAAAAUGAAAAGAAUAUGUUUGGGAAACUGUCACAGUUAUGUACUUCCAAUGAUUUUGGACAAGAAAAUGUGCUCCUGUCACUUACUAAUGGAAGCUGUGAAAUAAACAAGGAUAAGACAAUACUGGUAGAGAGAGAUGGAAAAUUUGAACUUCUGAAUUUACAAGACAUUGAGAGUCAGGGGGUUUUGCAUCCAUUAAUAAUGCAAAUAGUACAGAAAAUGACCCUCAGCAGUUGUUACCAGAUCUUCCAACUCCUAUGUCAGUGGCAUCAAGAAAGAAGAUUCUGCAGCAAAGAUUCAUGCUGCCACACACUCAUCAACAGGAGAGCCGCUGGCUUAUGUUCCUCAGCCACCACUCAUCUGCAAGACUUGUCCAAUUUCUGCUGCAAACUCAGGUCGAAGUAAAGGGAAUGGGAAAUCUAAUCGGGACACAGUCAGCACUAUCUCACCAGUGACCUAAAUAUACGGACUUUCCCCUCUACAGAAAGAACUACAAAAACAACUAGAACAAAAGAGAGAAGAGCUGAAAAGAGAGUAAAAGCAACAGCAAAUAGAAGAAGAGAAAGAAAAAAGAGAGAAUGACAUAGUAUUUAAAGCAUGGUUGCAAAAGAAAAGAGAGCAGGUCUUAGAAAUGAGGAGAAUUCAGUGAGCAGAGCAAAUUGAAGACAUGAACAGUGGAGUAAAAAUUCUCUGAAAAAUAAAUUCAUACAGAUAUGAAAGCUGAACUUAUUUAUGGAAGGGAAUCUGGGUAUCACACUAACAGCCUAUGGAAUAAGCAGAAAGUGGGCCAAGAACUACCCUUGCAAAAGAUGCAACAUGAAGAUGACUUUCCAAUUAGGUUCUAAGAGGCCUUGUGAAAAUAAAAUGAUUCUAUUUUGUUCAGACUUUGAUGGAACAGAAAAUAGGAAACAAUCAAUUCAUUUUUUCAAGAUGUAACUUUGGUAUUCAAACAGGAUAAAGAUACACACACAAAACCCUACAGACUGGUCUCACUUAAGACUAGACAUAUAGAGAUCUCACAUAGAUCUGUAGCAAAUUAAAGACCACAAAUUAUUUAAUUAAAAAAAUUUUUAAAAUUGAAACAAAAUCCAAAGAAAAAUUUUAAAAUCAUCAUAUCCUUAUUUUAAAAGAUAUAUAUGUAAAGUAAAAAGUUGAAAAUUCAAUCCCAGACUCUUCCAGGUUCAUCUCUAGUGAUAACCACUUUUAACAGUGGUACCUUUUAUAUCUUAUUAUAAAAGUGGUAUCCUUUUAUAUCUUAUUAUACUUAUAUAUUUACAUAUCAAAAGUUUUAUUAUUCAGUUUUUUUCACUUACUUCAUCAUGGACCUCUUUCUAAGCCAUUACAUUUAAAUCUCUCUUUUCAAAUAGCUGUGCGGUGUUACAGGGUUGAUUUAGUAAACCAUUUUUCAUUUGUAGGUAUUUAGGUUGGUUCCGACGUUGUGCUAGUUAACAGUGCUGUAGUGAAGACGUUCGUUCUGUGGGAACCUCGGUAAUCUGUAGGAGAGGGUCUUCAGAAGGGAACUGAUAAUUUUUGAAGGUUUAAAGUGAAAUGUUUGGUUACAGAUGCAAAAGUAACCUCCCAAAAGAUAAUAUGAAUUUGUAGUUCCUCCAACAGUGUGUGAGAGUGAAUGGCUAACACUGGGUGUAAUUUACUGUCUUAUUUUUUCUUCAAAUUAAUGAUAUCUAUGCUUGUAUAUGAGCAUGUGCAAGAAACAGUAAGAAAUAGAUAUAGGUCUCUACCCCUAGUAUUUGGCACAGAGCUCCUAAAACCUUUUUAAUUUCUUGAGUGAUAGGGGUUCCAUAUGUAUCUCUUGCUCUAAUAAUUGACCUUUUAUUCUGACUUCUGACAUGGAACUCCUAAUCCCUUGGAACUUCUUAGGUGAUAGGACUCUCUUUGUUCUAGUGAGAUGACUCUUGGUGAGCUCCUGGACAGGGGCUGGCUGCCAGAAAGACUAAGCCAUGAUUAGAAGCUCGGAACUUACAGUUCUAAUUCCUUUCUUCUAGGAAGGGGGAAAGGGCUAGAGAUUGAGUUAAUAAUCUCAAUGACUAUGUGAUGAAGCCUUCAUAAAAAUCCCUGAGCUGCAGGGUACAGAGAACUUCCAGGGUAUGGGAAAUGUGGUAUUGAAAAUGUGGCAUGCCCCCAAGCAGGCAUGGAAGCUUCACAUCCCUUCCCAAAUACUUUGCCUUGUGUAUCUCUUCAUCUGUGUCUUUUAUUACAUAAUUUAUUAAUAAACUUGUAAAUGUGUUUCCCUGAAAAAAAACUGAUCUGCUAAAUAUUUGGAAACAUCCAUCUAGUAGUCCUUUCUUCAGCCUCAGAAAGCUUCCUCUGACAGCCUCUGCCACCUCAAAGGGUGCUCCCAAAGUCCCUCUGUUAUGUAUCUUGAACACAGCCUGUUUAUCUCUAAUCAUUGUACUCAUCAUAUUAUUUUUGUCUUUCUGUCUCUUGCAUUAGUUGGUAAGCAACCUGAGGAUGGAGAGUGGUCAUUUUUUGUUCCUGGUACCCAGAACAGUGACUGACACAGAACAGAUAAUGUCUCUCUAAUGAUACAUGUUCUCUAUAGCAAACCUGAUAGAAGACAAAGGAACACACCAUUAAAUCAAGUUCAGUAAACGCUGUAAAAAUGUACAGCAAAGCUACUUUUUGGAUCCUAGCUAGAAAACGUAUAAAACCUAGAGGAUCUGGGGCAGCAAAUUCCAAACUGAGAAUGACUGUGGUUUCUGAAGGGCAGACUCCUAGCUGCUUCCCAGAAAUUUGGGUUAGAAACACGUGGGGUGAGGCCCUGGAAACGAUCAUUUUUCAGAGCCCCAAGGCAAUUUGGAUACGCAUUUAGUUAGUUUUGGGACUCACUGUUCUUGGGUAAUUCCAUAUCUAUAGAAUAUGAGAGCUUGAAAGCACCCGUAUAGUAUUUGGAUACAACUUUCUCAUUUUAUAGAUGAGGAAACUUGGGCUCAGAGAAGUGAGUACCUUGUUCAAAAUCAUGCUGUAGGGGUGGCGGCUGAGCCCAGGCUAGAAGCCAGGUGACCUGUGUAUGAAGGGAGGGAAACUGCAAUAGGAAAACUCAGAUGACAGGACUGGCAUGGGCCUACCUUUCUGAUUUUCAUAACAGCUUGAUCCGAAGUCAAUGACUGACAGACUUGGCCCUUUUGGUAUAGCACUCUAUUUUCCCAGAGAGAAGAAAAGACAUACAUCAAGCUACAGUAACACUGCCUAGGCCCUCUGCUUACCUAGAUGCUCCCCAUCCUUCAGGGUCCAGUUCAAAUAUGACCACCUCCAUGGGCCUCCUCCCACAUCCUCUCCAAAGUCCCAUCAUCCUCCCGCUCUGACUUUCCAUUUGAUUCGCAGAUGGUAUUUCUCAUUUGGACCUCAUAUUCACUGCUUUGCAGAGUUUCUUUUGCAUAUAUUGCGUCACUUUCCUUAUAUUGAUUGUGCCACUCCUGAAGAUUGUGACUUUGUUUUUAUCUUCUUUGGCACCUGGUUCCAGGCCUUGCUUGCAUAAGACCUUCGAAACGCCGUUGACUGAUUUGUUUGACAUUCCCAUUAAACACCUCCCUUGACACACUGCUGUGACAGUAGGGCACCAAGAAAAUGUCAAAGGCGAUGAUUUCACUGGAGUUUGUGAUUCUUACACAGCCUAGGGAAUAGAAUGGGUAUUUUCAGAGUGUUUCCAUGCCAGGGCGGAGGUGGUACUCACGGGCUUGAGAUCUCAGUGAAUGAUUUUCUCUACAGAAAGCACUUGCAAGCGCUUCAAAACAGAGAGAGUGAAGCACCGAACUAUCGACAGACUGAAGCCUUGAAAGCUGUUAUUUUUCAUCAACUCAUACUAGUUGAUUCUGGAAAAGAGAGGGGGAAAGUGAUGCGUAUGGGGAAAAAAACAAUAGAAGGCUGAGUUUGAAGCUGCAAACCACCUUGUAUCACCUGCUUUCCCUGCAGUAGGAGGCAGGGCUUUCAUGUCUUACAGAGUCAGCUUUCCCACUGAAUCACUGGACCCAGGGUGAAGUUCAGCUGUGCCAGACUCUCAUAUGUUCUCUCAUUUCUUAUGUGACAAGGCCACUGAAGCACUUCGUUAUGCAGUCGGGUUAAGAGGUUGGCCCAAACUUCUGAAAUAGUCAUACUUCCUCAGGCCCUUGAUAGGGACCCAGGAAGCCCACCAGUCACUAAAAGUAGCAGCCACUCCUGCCCAGGUCUGAUGGGGACUGUCUAAGGACAUCAGGUUCCAGACAAGUAAGGAACAAGAGAGUGGGCAGGUGGAGGCUGAAGCCAAAGGGAGCCCCUGCUCUACUCAAAAUGUGGCUGUUUGGUCCCAUCUACCUGUUCCCUUGGGAAAUGAAAGCUCGCUCUUGCCAGAGAAUCUUACACUCUCUAGGGUGGCAGAAGCCUACUAUAUUAUUUGAAGUUUACAGAAUGUUAGAACUUAUGAAUGUUAGAAACUAAUACAAUACAUUUGAAAAAGAAACAUUUACUUGUGAGCUGCCAGUUGCAACCUCUGUGCAAGCUGUGAGAUGGGGAGAGAAGGGAAAUAGCAUGACCCAAAAAUGGCUCUGCAUCAACCUUCUGCUGGUUCCUCCUCAUCUUCCAUUUCUAAGAUCAUCUAGCUUUGAUAGUACAAGCUACUCAUUCUUUUUUUUUUGAGAUGGAGUUUCGCUCUUGUUACCCAGGCUGGAGUGCAAUGGCGCGAUCUCGGCUCACCGCAACCUCCACCUCCUGGGUUCAGGCAAUUCUCCUGCCUCAGCCUCCUGCCACUCAUUCUUAAUAUUUUUUUUUAAGACACAGGGUCUGGCCG